AAGGGAACCCCGAAGUGCCUGUAUUAUGCAGGCUGUCCAGGUGUCUAAAAAACACCUUGAAGAAAGGGCCGGGCAAGACCGGUGCCAGCCGCCGCGGUAAUACCGGCGGCUCGAGUGGUGGCCACUUUUAUUGGGCUUAAAGCGUUCGUAGCUGGGUUGUUAAGUCUCUUGGGAAAUCCGACGGCUUAACCGUCAGGCGUCUAAGGGAUACUGGCAAUCUUGGAACCGGGAGAGGUGAGGGGUACUUCGGGGGUAGGAGUGAAAUCCUGUAAUCCUCGAGGGACCACCUGUGGCGAAGGCGCCUCACCAGAACGGCUUCGACAGUGAGGGACGAAAGCUGGGGGAGCAAACCGGAUUAGAUA
rnacentral:rRNA from 1 species